AAAAAUUUCGUCAAACAUUUUUCCCGCCAAAAAAAAAUAUUCUCGCCAAAAAUUUUUACAACCAAAAAAUUGCUUCUAAAAAUCCUUGUAAUUUUUUUUUUGCGGGAAAUAGAUUUACAAGGGAUUUUAAAAGGGUUUUAAAAGAUUUACAAUGGAUUUUAAAAGGUUUUAAAAAAUUUUACAAGAGUUUUUAAAGAAUCUUCUUGUAAACUCUUUAAAAAUCUUUUAAAAACCCUUGUACAUAUCUUAAAACCCUUUUAAAAUCUCUUGUAAAUCUUUAAAACCCUUUUAAAAUCCCUUGUAAAUCUUUUAAAACCCUUUUAAAAUCCCUUGUAAAUCUUUUAACACCCUUUUAAAAUCACUUGUAAAUAUUUUAAAACACUUUUCAAACAAUUUUGAACCCUUUAAAAAUCUUUAUAAAACCUUUGUAAAUCUUUUAAAGCCCUUUAAAAUCUCUUAUAAAUCUUUUAAAACCCUUUUAAAAUCCCCUGUAAAACUUUUAAAACCCUUUUAAAAUCCCUUGUAAAUCUUUUUAAACCCUUUUAAAAUCCUUGUAAAUAUUUUAAAAUCCCGUGUAAUUCUUUUAAAACUCUUUUAAAAUCUCGUGUAAAUUUGGCGGGAAAAAUAUUUUUGGAAAA
rnacentral:sRNA from 1 species